GACGUAGGAGGCGAGCGUUAUCCGGAUUCACUGGGCGUAAAGCGCAUGUAGGCGGUUGAUUAAGUCCGUUGUUAAAGCCCCUGGCUCAACUGGGGGAGGUCAAUGGAGACUAUUCGACUUGAGGGCAACAGAGGCACAUGGAACUCCCGGUGUAGCGGUGGAAUGCGUAGAGAUCGAGAGGAACACCCGUGGCGAAGGCGGCUCCCUGGCCGAACACUGACGCUGAGACGCGAAAGCGUGGGGAGCGAACGGG
rnacentral:rRNA from 1 species